rnacentral:rRNA from 1 species
AUACGGAGGACGCGAGCGUUAUCCGGAUUCAUUGGGUUUAAAGGGUGCGCAGGCGGCCGUGCAAGUCAGCGGUGAAAGCCCGGGGCCCAACCCCGGAAGUGCCGUUGAUACUGCAUGGCUUGAAUGCGGUCGAGGCGGGCGGAACGUGGCGUGUAGCGGGGAAAUGCGUAGAUAUGCCACAGAACGCCGAUAGCGGAGGCAGCUCGCCAGGCCUGCAUUGACGCUCGGGCACGAAAGCGUGGGGAUCGAACAGGAUUAGAUACCCUGGUAGUCCACGCCGUAAACGAUGGGCGCUCGUCGUCGGCGGCAGACAGUCGGCGGCCAAGCGAAAGCGAUAAGCGCCCCACCUGGGGAGUACGGUCGCAAGGCUGAAACUCAAAUGAAUUGACGG